rnacentral:rRNA from 1 species
ACUCAAAUGAAUAGACGGGGACCCGCACAAGCGGUGGAGCAUGUGGUUUAAUUCGAAGCAACGCGAAGAACCUUACCUGGUCUUGACAUCCCGAUGAAUAAUGGGUAAUGCCAUUAGCCCUUCGGGGCAUCGGUGACAGGUGGUGCAUGGUUGUCGUCAGCUCGUGUCGUGAGAUGUUGGGUUAAGUCCCGCAACGAGCGCAACCCUUAUCUUUAGUAGCCAGCAGGUUAAGCUGGGCACUCUAGAGAGACUGCCGGGGAUAACCCGGAGGAAGGUGGGGAUGACGUCAAAUCAUCAUGCCCCUUAUGACCAGGGCUACACACGUGCUACAAUGGCGUAAACAAAGGGAAGCGAAAUGGUGACAUGGAGCAAACCCCAAAAAUAACGUCCCAGUUCGGAUUGUAGUCUGCAACUCGACUACAUGAAGCCGGAAUCGCUAGUAAUCGCGAAUCAGCAUGUCGCGGUGAAUACGUUCCCGGGUCUUGCACACACCGCCCGU